rnacentral:piRNA from 1 species
UUUUUACUCCUCAUUCAGAUC